UCGUCCCUGUUGAAGCUAAAACGCAAAGUUAUAUACACGCCAAGCCUGUUUGUCACCGAUCGUCUAUUGUCGCGUCAAAAAUCGCGACACUUUGAAAGCUUUGCCAGUUUGUUCGAUAAAGCAGCAUGCGAAUAAAAAUAAGGAACAAUCAGGUUAAUUUAACCAGCGUUGAAUUGUCACGACAUAACGCCAGCAAACAUUAACGUGGGCAAACAUUUUGACCUUUUCGUUGCUGCACGUGGGUAGGAACGAAGAAGAAGAAUAGCCGGGAAUUUCAAAUGGGCCGCUAUGUGUCGCUGCCAAUAGCCAGAAAUAUUUCGCUUCGACGGUUUAUUUGGAAAUAUUUGAUCGCCGAAUAUUUGCGUAUUUAUACGCCUAUCGCAUAUAUUCUUCCAUUAUUUUUCUUGUUUUAAAUGCAAAAAUAUUGCGAAGUAAAUCUAUUUUUCGCCGAUAAUCGACGAUAUUUCAUCUUCGUAGUUUAUUUUCAAAUAAUGAGAAACGAGCGAAUCGUGGAACGUUGCUUCUUCUGCAACGUUUACCUCGAGCACACGGGGAGACAUUUUUCGCCAUUGUUGCUCGUCGUAACUCGCUACAUUUUCGGCCCGUCGAGUUUUAAAUGAACCCGAGGCGUUUGCAUCGUAUUAGAGGAAUAUUUAACGCGUUGCAACGGCAAGUGUAGAAAAUUUAUGAUUUAUUUUCUUCUGCUGGAUAUUUCCACCAGCUGUGUCCCGAGCUACGAUUUGUUUUCAGCAAAAUUGUAACGUCGGAAACCGCUUUCCUUCUGCUGACUGUGCCAGUUGCGUUUCGCGUUUCUGCCGCUGUUACCAUUCCAAUUUGUAGAUGGGCCGUAAAAGCGGUUUUUAGCAUGAAUUUCGUCGUGUUCCGUGGCAAUAUAAGCCUGGCAUUUAGGCAACGCGCAACCGGCGCUAAUAUUAUCGUUUAUUUCCAGCCAUACAAAAGCUAAGAUAUGCGAUUUUAUCGCGAUUCAAAGCUGUUUAUUAUAUUUUCUGUUUGCUUUCGAGAAUCUACGUUCUCUCUGCUGUUUUUCGACAUUUCUUAAUUUUCAAUAUCGAAUGCAGAUCGAUACGUUUCCAACUUUCUUCCUUUCUACUUUCAUAAAAAAUUUUGUUUCGUACAAAAUUUCAGAAACGAUAUAACUGCGAAAUUAACGGUAAUACUUGCAAAGAAUUUUAUCUCUUAAAUUUCUCAUUUGAUUUCAAUCUGAUUAAUUUGAUACGCAGUCGUACUUUUCUAUUGAUAAGAAAUUCCUGAACAUUCAAGAUAAAACGUUGAUUCAAAUUACGAAAGACGAAGAAAGGGAAAGCGGAUAAUGCUAAAGAAAAGGGAAAAGAGAGCAAAACGGACGCACAACGUUUGCGACGAGUAACGCUCCACGCGUAAGACAAUUUACAUCCGGAAUGGUAACAACGAUGAACAUUUGCGAUAACGCCGUAGCAGAUAACAGGUUUUCACAUUGUGUUUCUCACCUGUUAUCCACCUCAUCUAAUCGUAGCAAGUAUCUCGCUACGUGGAAAUUUGGAAGAAAAACCUGGAAUAUGAUUGUCAGAAGCGAACAGAAUUCUUUCCACAAUCUCAUCAGUGUCUUUAGAACUAUCACGAGAUCUUGAAACAUGUUUACUAAUGUGAAAUAAAGUACGAUAAAUUUAUAAUAAAAUUUAAAGCG